CAUGCAAGUCGAACGAGAGAUGAGGAGCUUGCUCUUCAAAUCGAGUGGCGAACGGGUGAGUAACGCGUGAGGAACCUGCCUCAAAGAGGGGGACAACAGUUGGAAACGACUGCUAAUACCGCAUAAGCCCACGGCUCGGCAUCGAGCAGAGGGAAAAGGAGUGAUCCGCUUUGAGAUGGCCUCGCGUCCGAUUAGCUAGUUGGUGAGGUAACGGCCCACCAAGGCAACGAUCGGUAGCCGGACUGAGAGGUUGAACGGCCACAUUGGGACUGAGACACGGCCCAGACCCCUACGGGAGGCAGCAGUGGGGAAUAUUGCACAAUGGGGGAAACCCUGAUGCAGCGACGCCGCGUGGAGGAAGAAGGUCUUCGGAUUGUAAACUCCUG
rnacentral:rRNA from 1 species